rnacentral:rRNA from 1 species
CGCAUCUGUGCAUGCAGCAUAUCAAUAAGCGGAGGAAAAGAAACUAACAAGGAUUCCCUUAGUAACGGCGAGUGAAGCGGGAAGAGCUCAAAUUUGAAAUCUUCAAGGUUUUACCUUGACGAAUUGUAGUUUAAAGAAGUGUUUUUCUGUUGAAGUUUUGGUAAAAGUUCUUUGGAAUAGGACAUCAUAGAGGGUGAGAAUCCCGUAUUUGACCAUUAUUUUCAGCUGUGUGAUACACUUUCAAAGAGUCGGAUUGUUUGGGAAUGCAGUCCAAAAUGGGUGGUAAAUUUCAUCUAAAGCUAAAUAUUGGCGAGAGACCGAUAGCGAACAAGUACCGUGAGGGAAAGACUGAAAAGAACUUUUGAAAAGAGAGUUAAACAGUACGUGAAAUUGUCAAAAGGGAAGCGUUUGACACCAGUGUUGUUUUCCUCGAAAAUCAAUUAAAAAGAGUUUGAUUUUGUUGUGUAUUGACCUUAACAGCUUGCAUUUCAAUUUUCUUGCUUUUUUUAAUGCACUUUUCGUUUAACAAGUCAACAUCAGUUUCUUUUGUUGUAAAAAGGUCAUUGGAAGGUGGCUUUCUUUUCGGAGAAAGUGUUUAUAGCCUUUGACUCCUGCAAUCGGAGAGACUGAGGUCUGCAGCGUAGAUCCUUCGGGAUUAGAUACAUUUGUGCUAAGUUAUAGCUUUUUAUAGACAACUUGUUGACUAUGAUUAGUCUUGUAGCUUACUCGCUUAUGCUAUUUUACCUACGCUUAGGAUGUUGAUGUGAUACUGCGAGC